UUUUCCUAUGUACCACAGCAUAUUGAGGUACAUUUACCCCAACAGAUGUUUCAUAUCAGAAGUACAAAUUUAUAUUUGGGAGAGACAUAUAGAGGAUAUUUCACGGAUUAGGUGGUUCCUACAUACUAUGCAUUUAUUGCUUUUUAGUAGCAUAAACCAUAAUGGUGAAGGGGGAUAUCUGUUCGGGUAAAAUAACAUACCAGCAGUUCUACCUUCUUUUAAUCGAAAGUGGCUAGCAUGCAUAUAUAUAGAUAAUAAAAUUGUUACAUUGUAAGAAGAUAUUUACGGGCAACGUAGCUUCUGCUUAUGCGUGCAGUUUGGAUGUUCCUCCUGACAUGAGGUAUGGGCUUGGAAAACAACAAAAUCGUGUAAAAAAUGAAAUUCACAUGUUGGUGUUUGUACCAAUAUAUUAUACAUCCUUGUGAAACUUAAAAAAUACUAACAUCCGGAUGGGACGGGCACCUAAAACGUUGAAAUUAAGUAUAUAUGAAAACUAAGUAUUUAAUCAACGGAGGUUUUAGUAUUUCUUUGAUGUAAUACAUAUUGUAUAUAUUGCUUUUAUGAAUAUACGAUUGUAUUUUGUAACACAUUAAAUGCAAAAAUAGGAGGACAGAUUUAAGCUUCUUUUUGAGAAAACAUUCUCUUUUUACCAUCUUGUAAAUUUGUAUACGAAGAAUUUGGCAAUAAAGU